AAAAUAAUAUACAAAAUAUAUAAGAUGUUUUUAAGAUGUUCAAAAUGCUUGGAAAUAUAUAAAAAUAGUUAAAAUACAGUAUAACGUCUCGAUAAAAAUAGUUAAAGUACAGCAUAACCUCUAUAAAUUCACCAUGUUGAUCAGUUCUACAUGACAAACAUAGAGUUUGACCAGAAGAUAUAAUAUCUUUCUUAUUCUGGAAGCUCUAACGUGAUGAUAAAACAAGAUUAAUUAAUAUACCCACAUCA
rnacentral:lncRNA from 1 species